AUGGAGAUGGUUGUCUCUGCGAUUGCAGGUGACCUAGUUAACCGGUUCAUAUCCUUCUUGAUAAAGAAGAACGAGAGCCAUGCAAAUCUAGAUAAGAAGGUGGAAAGGCUACAACAGCUGCUUCUUCGAGUUCACAUGGUCAUCGAGGAGGCCGAGGGGCGAUACAUCACCAACUCCAGAAUGUUGCUUGAGCUCAAGAAGCUUUUAGAGGCCAUGUACCAAGGUUACCAUGUCCUGGACACCAUCAAAUACAAGGCCCUUUGUAGCUCAAGGGAUGAAAAGGAGGUUAGCAGCAGCUCCAAUACCUUGUCGCUCUCGAAUUCUAUCAAGUGCUUUCAUACCAAUUCUACCAACUGCUUUCAUACCACAAGGAGCACUACUACAAUUUUUCAUGACCUUGAUAGUGUAUUGGAGAACUUAGAAACCAUGGUUUCUAACAUGACAGAGUUUGUCGUGCUUGUUGGAGGAUGUGAGCGCAUGCCUCGUAGCCCUUACGACACGUACCUCUACAUCGACAACUUCAUGUUUGGUCGUCAAGUAGAAAAACAGCAAAUCAUGAAUGUUUUGCUGCAAGAAAAUAUUCCUCCUUUCGCUCCAACUGUUCUUCCGAUCAUCAGCACCAAUAGAGUGGGCAAGAAAACUCUAGUCGCGCAUGUUUGUAACAAUGAUAGAGUUAGAUCACACUUCUCUUUGAUCUUGCGUCUGAAAGGGGAAAGCAUUCACAAAACUGAGCAUGGAGCUUUCUUUCCAACUGGGAGGACUUUGGUUGUGCUUGAAUUUACUUCAGACAUAGAUGAUGUUAGUUGGCAAAAGUUUUAUUCCACAACUAGACGUAUGGGAAAAGGAAGCAAGAUCAUCAUCAUAAGUAGGAUCGAGAGUGUAUCGAGACUCGGAACCAUAAGGCCGAUGCACUUAAACAGCUUGUCGCUGGAGGAGUACAGUUACCUCUUCAAGGUCCUUGCAUUCGGAAGCACAAAUCCAGAUGAUCACCCCCGGCUAUCAUUGGUAGCGAGUGAGCUAGCUGUGUUGAUGGGAGGUUCGCUCGUGGUAGCAAAUGUGUGCGCCGAUAUCUUUAGAAAGAACCAGAAUCUUCAGUUCUGGCAACAUAUCCUCAACAAGUACAGAAACUUUUUGGCAGACAAUCUCUCGGUGUUUUGUGAACAUCCAAAGCUUCUCAUCGAGAGAGAUCGCCCGGUGGAUAUAGCAAAACUCGUGUCAUCGACCUCUGCUCCGCUUCGCCUCAUGCCACCGCACUGCGAAGACGACGAUUCUACGAGGGAUUUGCCCAAGGUGAGGUAUGGGGACCUGAUCGCCGGCUCCGUUGUUCCGCCGAAGGAGAAGUUUGAGCUAGUAGGUUGGGAGUCGCGGAUACCACCAUAUAAGAAGUAUGUCAAUGUGGCUAUGUUCUCUGGUGAGGUGAAUGUUUCGGAACAUGUGGUCUCACCUUGCAAGAAGCGCAUACGAUUUAGUUAG
rnacentral:rRNA from 1 species